rnacentral:rRNA from 2 species
AUCCGAAAGACUCUCGGCAACGGAUAUCUCGGCUCUUGCAUCGAUGAAGAACGUAGCGAAAUGCGAUACUUGGUGUGAAUUGCAGAAUCCCGUGAACCAUCGAGUCUUUGAACGCAAGUUGCGCCCGAAGCCAUUAGGCCGAGGGCACGCCUGCCUGGGUGUUGCAC